GUUAAACAUUCCGCGAACACAAAAUGCAUAGGGAGAGAGAAGAAGAAAUAAAAAGAAAAAAAGAAAAAGAUAAAUUAAAAUACAUGUUUAGAGAGAGAAACACAUACAAAUACAGCACAACAAGCAGCAAUCAGAACCUCUCUCAGUUGCCUCAUACAAAUCCAUUAAUCUUAAUCUUAAUUUUAAUUUUCUGCUUAAAUCUGCUCCUCCUAAUGUAAAACACUUCAGAGAAAAUCGCUAACCUUUCUCUCGCAUUUUUCUUUUUCGUUUUCUUUCUCAUUUCGUUUCGUUUACUCUCUUUUUUCUCUUCCAAAUGGUGGUGAUGAUGGAGGAUAAUGACAGUUCUGGAAUCAGAGUUCACGAUACAACGACGUUGCUUUCUUCUUCGCCGGCGCCUUCACCUGUACAGGGACGACAACAGAGACAGAAGCUAGAGGUGUACAAUGAGGUUCUUCGUCGGCUUAAAGAAUCAAACAAUGAAGAGGCUAAUCGGCCUGGCUUUGACGACGAACUCUGGUCUCACUUUCAUCGUCUUCCUACUCGAUAUGCAUUGGAUGUGAAUGUGG
rnacentral:misc_RNA from 1 species